UAAAAUCAGAAACUUUUGGAUUUUUUACAAUUUACCUAAAAGUUUUAGUAUUACUAAGACCCUUAAACCCUUGAGAGCCAUUUGGUUCCUGCGAAGGCAGUAGGGAGUCAUCUCAGACAUGGUGGUAUGUGGAACACUUGAAUCGCAUGUGGAGACGGAAGUGCAGCCGCCGAUGGAAGACCUCGAGAGGAAGAAGAAGCAGGAAGAGAAGGUGACUGGCGUUCGUGCUUCAUUGAAUCAAGGCAGUAGCAGAGAUUACUACCAGCUGUGCACAUAGGAUUUACUGCUGAGGAUAGAACAAUUGUGUUUUGGUUCAUGCUAAGUGGUCUAUUUUGAGGUGGCUAAUGGCUAUGUUAUGUUAACCAACCCAACGCCCCCAUAAAAAGAAAAUCCUACAGGUGAUAAAUGAGAACGAUGCUGCUCCACCUGGAUGUAGAAUGUCAGUUGUAAAUGAAAAUGCUUCUGUUUAUCUCGAGCUUCAACAAACCCUUAAUGCGGAAGCAGCAAUUGGAAAGCUCCGGAAAAGAUAUGGAGCUGCAGAAGUAAUUGUUUCAACUCAAAUCCAUAGAGCGUUAUCUUCUUUUUCAUGCUAAACUGAUUGUGGAAGGGUUCUGAUCAAUUGGCUGCUUCAUUGGUUUAAAGCUUUUUCUUUUGCAGGGAUAGCUUUUGUUGGCAAAAUUGUGAAACAUCAGUAGGAGCACAAUUACAAUGUUUUUUAAUUUCAAAACACAUGAAAGCUCUUUAAA